rnacentral:rRNA from 1 species
UGGGUGAGGUAAUGGCUCACCAAGGCUAUGACGGGUAGGGGGUGUGAGAGCAUGGCCCCCCACAAGGACACUGAGACACGGGUCCUACACCUACGGGUGGCAGCAACCGGGAAUAUUGCGCAAUGGGCGAAAGCCUGACGCAGCGACGCCGCGUGUGGGAAGACGGCCUUCGGGUUGUAAACCACUGUGGUAGGGGAACAAGUUCUGAGGGUACCCUACUAGAAAGCACCUGCUAACUACGUGCCAGAAGCCUCGGUAAUACGUAGGGUGCAAGCGUUAUCCGGAUUUACUGGGCGUAAAGCGUCCGUAGGCGGUUCUGUAAGUACAUGGUUAAAGCCCCAGGCUCAACCUGGGAAAAGCUAUGUAAACUCCAGAACUAGAGGGUUGCAGAGACUGUUGGAAUUCUCGGUGGAGGGGUGAAAUCCGUUGAUAUCGAGAGGAACACCAAGGGCGAAGGCAGACAGUUGGGCAACUCCUGACGCUCAGGGACGAAAGCUAGGGUAGCAAAAGGGAUUAGAGACCCCUGUAGUCCUAGCCGUAAACGAUGGAUACUAGUUGGUUGUCUUAGUCUACUAAGGUGGCUAGCGUAAGCUAACGCGUUAAGUAUCCCGCCUGGGAGAAGGCCCGCCAGGCUAAAACUCAAAGGGAUUGACGGGGGAGCGCACAACCGGGUGGAGCAGUGGGUUAAUUCGAUACAAAAGCGAAGAACCUUACCUGAGCUUGACAAGUACCUGCAAGCCUCGUGAAAACGAGGAAGCCUUCGAGGGUGGUACACAGGUGUUGCAUGGCUGUCGUCAGUUCGUGUCGUGAGGCGUCCGCCUUAAGUGCGGUAACGUAACGCAACCCCCAUCCUAUGUUAAAUUGUUCAUAGGAGACUGCUCUUGAUAGUAUCAAGGGAGGAAGGAGGGGACGACGUCUAGCCAGCAUGACUCUUACGUUCAGGGCGACACACAUCCUACAAUGGGAAGGACAACAGGUUGCCAACUCGCGAGAGGGAGCUAAUCCUUCAAACCUUUCCUCAGUUCGGAUUGGAGGCUGAAAUUCGCCUCCAUGAAGUCGGAAUCGGUAGUAAUCGCAGGUCAGCAGACUGCGGUGAAUACGUUCUCACUCCUGUACACACCGCCCGUCAAGUGAGCAAAGUUGGCAGUGCCUGAAGUCGAGUCUCUAACUCUUUUUUUAGAGAGGAGCCCGCCAAGGUACAA